rfam:Anopheles dirus strain WRAIR2 unplaced genomic scaffold supercont1.9, whole genome shotgun sequence.
CUAUUGGUUUCUUUGGAAACCAUACUAUACUAAAAUGACCUAGUUUU